CAGUCGCCACGGUAAUACAGAGGGUGCAAGCGUUAAUCGGAAUUACUGGGCGUAAAGCGCGCGUAGGUGGUUCGCCAAGUUGGAUGUGAAAUCCCCGGGCUCAACCUGGGAACUGCAUCCAAAACUGGCGAGCUAGAGUAUGGUAGAGGGUGGUGGAAUUUCCUGUGUAGCGGUGAAAUGCGUAGAUAUAGGAAGGAACAUCAGUGGCGAAGGCGACCACCUGGACUGAUACUGACACUGAGGUGCGAAAGCGUGGGGAGCAAACAGGAUUAGAUACCCCUGUAGUCCCUGUCUCUUAUAC
rnacentral:rRNA from 1 species